rnacentral:rRNA from 1 species
AUAUCAAUAAGCGGAGGAAAAGAAACCAACAGGGAUUGCCCCAGUAACGGCGAGUGAAGCGGCAAGAGCUCAAAUUUGAAAUCUGGCCUCCUUCGGGGGUCCGAGUUGUAAUUUGUAGAGGAUGCUUCGGGUGUGGCCGCCGUCUAAGUUCCUUGGAACAGGACGUCAGAGAGGGUGAGAAUCCCGUCUUGGGCGGCCGGUCCGCGCCCGUGUGAAGCUCCUUCGACGAGUCGAGUUGUUUGGGAAUGCAGCUCUAAGCGGGUGGUAAAUUUCAUCUAAAGCUAAAUACUGGUCGGAGACCGAUAGCGCACAAGUAGAGUGAUCGAAAGGUUAAAAGCACCUUGAAAAGGGAGUUAAACAGCACGUGAAAUUGUUGAAAGGGAAGCGCUUGCGGCCAGACUCGGGGGCGGGGUUCAGCGGGCGCUCGUCGCCCGUGUACUCCCCGUCUCCCGGGCCAGCAUCAGUUUCGACGGCCGGUCAAAGGCCCCCGGAAUGUGUCGUCUCUCGGGACGUCUUAUAGCCGGGGGUGCAAUGCGGCCCGUCGGGACUGAGGAACGCGCUCCGGCUCGGAUGCUGGCGUAAUGGCCGUAAGCGGC